rnacentral:rRNA from 1 species
UGGGGAAUAUUGGACAAUGGGCGAAAGCCUGAUCCAGCAAUGCCGCGUGAGUGAUGAAGGCCUUAGGGUUGUAAAGCUCUUUUACCAGGGAUGAUAAUGACAGUACCUGGAGAAUAAGCUCCGGCUAACUCCGUGCCAGCAGCCGCGGUAAUACGGAGGGAGCUAGCGUUGUUCGGAAUUACUGGGCGUAAAGCGUACGUAGGCGGUGACUCAAGUCAGAGGUGAAAGCCUGGAGCUCAACUCCAGAACUGCCUUUGAAACUAGGUCGCUAGAAUCACGGAGAGGUGAGUGGAAUUCCGAGUGUAGAGGUGAAAUUCGUAGAUAUUCGGAAGAACACCAGUGGCGAAGGCGGCUCACUGGACGUGUAUUGACGCUGAGGUACGAAAGCGUGGGGAGCAAACAGGAUUAGAUACCCUGGUAGUCCCUGAGCGGGCUGGCAAGGCGCAU